CCAAUAGCGUAUAUUAAAGUUGUUGCAGUUAAAAAGCUCGUAGUUGAAUUUCGGGAUCAAUGCGUCGGUCGUGCCUUCGGUACGUACUAGCGUCAUCGAUUCCUCCCUUCUGAAGAACCGUGAUGUCAUUAAUUUGGUGUUACGGGGAAUCAGGACUGUUACCUUGAAAAAAUUAGAGUGUUUAAAGCAGGCUAACGCUUGAAUACAUUAGCAUGGAAUAAUGAAAUAGGACGUUCGAACCUAUUUUGUUGGUUUCUAGGAUCGACGUAAUGAUUAAUAGGGAUAGUUGGGGGCAUUAGUAUUCAAUUGUCAGAGGUGAAAUUCUUGGAUUUAUUGAAGACUAACUACUGCGAAAGCAUUUGCCAAGGAUGUUUUCAUUAAUCAAGAACGAAAGUUAGGGGAUCGAAGACGAUCAGAUACCGUCGUAGCCUUAACCAUAAACUAUGCCGACUAGGGAUCGGAUGAUGUUAAUUUUAUAAUGACUCAUUCGGCGCCUUACG
rnacentral:rRNA from 1 species